GACGAACGCUGGCGGCGUGCUUAACACAUGCAAGUCGAACGAAGUGGCGAACGUGUGAGUAAUACGUGGGUAACCUGCCCUCCUUUUUGGGAUUAGCCUUGGAAACGGGGUCUAAUACCGAAUAAAGGGGGAGGGGCUCGGGGCCUAUCCGCUUGUUGGUGGGGUGAUGGCCUACCAAGGCGGUGACGGGUAGCCGGCGUGAGAGGGUGAACGGGCACAUUGGGACUUAGAUACGGCCCAGAGUCCGACGGGAGGGAGCAGUGGGGGAUAUUGGACAAUGGGCGAAAGCCUGAGGCAGCGACGCCGCGUGGGGGAUGAAGGCUUUCGGGUUGUAAACCUCGUUCGCUAUCGAGCGGGUAGGGGGAGAAGAGGCGCCGGCUAACUACGUGCCAGCAGCCGCGGUAAUAC
rnacentral:rRNA from 1 species